AAGUUAGCAAGUUACUAAAAUUACUCUUUCUUAUAUUUUCAAAAUAUAUGCUUUAAUAAAUAAGCU
rnacentral:tRNA from 1 species